UACGAGGGGGGCGAGCGUUGUUCGGAAUUAUUGGGCGUAAAGGGUGCGUAGGCGGUUUGGUAAGUCUUGUGUGAAAUCUUCGGGCUCAACUCGAAGUCUGCAUGAGAAACUGCCGGGCUUGAGUGUGGGAGAGGUGAGUGGAAUUCCCGGUGUAGCGGUGAAAUGCGCAGAUAUCAGGAGGAACACCGACGGCGAAGGCAGCACUCUGGGCCGGUACUGACGCUGAGGAGCGAAAGCAUGGGGAGCGAACAGG
rnacentral:rRNA from 1 species